rnacentral:tRNA from 1 species
UCCCUGGUGGCUCAGAUGUAAAGAAUCUGCCUACAAUGCAGGAGACCCAGGCUCGAUCCCUGGAUGGGGAA